rnacentral:rRNA from 1 species
GGUUUCCGUAGGUGAACCUGCGGAAGGAUCAUUAAAGAGAUAGGGUCUUCAUGGCCCGACCUCCAACCCUCUGUUGUUAAAACUACCUUGUUGCUUUGGCGGGACCGUCUCGGUCUCCGAGCGCACUAACCCUCGGGUUGGUGAGCGCCCGCCAGAGUCCAACCAAACUCUUGUAUUAACCCAGUCGUCUGAGUAUAAAAUUUUAAUUAAAUUAAAACUUUCAACAACGGAUCUCUUGGUUCUCGCAUCGAUGAAGAACGCAGCGAAAUGCGAUAAGUAAUGUGAAUUGCAGAAUUCAGUGAAUCAUCGAAUCUUUGAACGCACAUUGCGCCCCUUGGUAUUCCGAGGGGCAUGCCUGUUCGAGCGUCAUUACACCACUCAAGCAUCGCUUGGUAUUGGGAACGGUCCGUCGCAAGGCGGGCCUUCCUCGAAGACCUCGGCGGGGUUCAACCAACUUCGGGCGUAGUAGAGUUAAAUCGAACGUCUUAUAAGCUUGGUCGGAUCUCAUUGCCGUUAAACCUUUAAAUUUUCUAGGUUGACCUCGGAUCAGGUAGGGAUACC